ACACUCCUACGGGAGGCAGCAGUGGGGAAUAUUGCACAAUGGGCGCAAGCCUGAUGCAGCCAUGCCGCGUGUAUGAAGAAGGCCUUCGGGUUGUAAAGUACUUUCAGCGGGGAGGAAGGCAAUACGGUUAAUAACCGUGUUGAUUGACGUUACCCGCAGAAGAAGCACCGGCUAACUCCGUGCCAGCAGCCGCGGUAAUACGGAGGGUGCAAGCGUUAAUCGGAAUUACUGGGCGUAAAGCGCACGCAGGCGGUCUGUCAAGUCGGAUGUGAAAUCCCCGGGCUCAACCUGGGAACUGCAUUCGAAACUGGCAGGCUUGAGUCUUGUAGAGGGGGGUAGAAUUCCAGGUGUAGCGGUGAAAUGCGUAGAGAUCUGGAGGAAUACCGGUGGCGAAGGCGGCCCCCUGGACAAAGACUGACGCUCAGGUGCGAAAGCGUGGGGAGCAAACAGGAUUAGAUACCCUUGUAGUCCCAUG
rnacentral:rRNA from 1 species